rnacentral:pre_miRNA from 1 species
CCCUGCCACGGCCCACGGGCCAGCAGUACGUAUAAAUAAUAAUCAUAUAUGAUUAUUAUUUAUACGUACUGCUGGCCCGUGGGCCGUGGCAGGGA